GACGAACGCUGGCGGCGUGCUUAACACAUGCAAGUCGAACGGUGAAAGCGGAGCUUGCUCCGCUGGAUCAGUGGCGAACGGGUGAGUAACACGUGGGCAACCUGCCCCUCACUUCGGGAUAACUCCGGGAAACCGGGGCUAAUACCGGAUAUGACCUCCUUUGGCAUCCUUGGAGGUGGAAAGUUUUUCGGUGAGGGAUGGGCCCGCAGCCUAUCAGCUUGUUGGUGAGGUAGUGGCUCACCAAGGCGACGACGGGUAGCCGGCCUGAGAGGGCGACCGGACACACUGGGACUGAGACACGGCCCAGACUCCUACGGGAGGCAGCAGUGGGAAAUAUUGCGCAAUGGGCGAAAGCCUGACGCAGCAACGCCGCGUGCGGGAUGACGGCCUUCGGGUUGUAAACCGCUUUCAGCAGGGAAGAAGCCGCAAGGUGACGGUACCUGCAGAAGAAGCACCGGCUAAGUACGUGCCAGCCGCCGCGGUAA
rnacentral:rRNA from 1 species